rnacentral:rRNA from 1 species
AUUGAACGCUGGCGGCAGGCCUAACACAUGCAAGUCGAGCGGCAGCGGGAAGUAGCUUGCUACUUUGCCGGCGAGCGGCGGACGGGUGAGUAAUGUCUGGGAAACUGCCUGAUGGAGGGGGAUAACUACUGGAAACGGUAGCUAAUACCGCAUAACGUCGCAAGACCAAAGAGGGGGACCUUCGGGCCUCUUGCCAUCAGAUGUGCCCAGAUGGGAUUAGCUAGUAGGUGGGGCAAUGGCUCACCUAGGCGACGAUCCCUAGCUGGUCUGCGAGGAUGACCAGCCACACUGGAACUGAGACACGGUCCAGACUCCGACGGGAGGCAGCAGUGGGGAAUAUUGCACAAUGGGCGCAAGCCUGAUGCAGCCAUGCCGCGUGUAUGAAGAAGGCCUUCGGGUUGUAAAGUACUUUCAGCGGGGAGGAAGGUGUUGAGGUUAAUAACCUCAGCAAUUGACGUUACCCGCAGAAGAAGCACCGGCUAACUCCGUGCCAGCCGCCGCAGUAA